AUUGAACGCUGGCGGCAGGCCUAACACACGCAAGUCGAGCGGUAACACAGAGGAGCUUGCUCCUUGGGUGACGAGCGGCGGACGGGUGAGUAAUGCCUGGGGAUCUGCCCGAUAGAGGGGGAUAACUACGGGAAACUGUAGCUAAUACCGCAUAAUGUCUACGGACCAAAGUGGGGGCUCUUCGGACCUCAUGCUAUCGGAUGAACCCAGGGGGGAUUAGCUAGUUGGUGAGGUAAUGGCUCACCAAGGCGACGAUCUCUAACUGGUUUGAGGGAAUGACCAGUCACACUGGAACUGAGACACGGUCCAGACUCCUACGGGAGGCAGCAGUGGGGAAUAUUGAACAAUGGGCGCAAGCCUGAUGCAGCCAUGCCGCGUGUGUGAAGAAGGCCUUCGGGUUGUAAAGCACUUUCAGCGGGGAGGAAGGGCUACUAGUUAAUACCUAGUGGCAUUGACGUUACUCGCAGAAGAAGCACCGGCUAACUCCGUGCCAGCAGCCGCCGCGGUAA
rnacentral:rRNA from 1 species